rnacentral:rRNA from 1 species
GACGUAGGGCGCGAGCGUUGUCCGGAUUUGUUGGGCGUAAAGAGCUCGUAGGCGGCUUGUUGCGUCGACCGUGAAAACCCGCGGCUUAACUGUGGGCUUGCGGUCGAUACGGGCGGGCUGGAGUUCGGUAGGGGAGACUGGAAUUCCUGGUGUAGCGGUGAAAUGCGCAGAUAUCAGGAGGAACACCGGUGGCGAAGGCGGGUCUCUGGGCCGAUACUGACGCUGAGGAGCGAAAGCGUGGGGAGCGAACAGG